UACGUAGGGUGCGAGCGUUAAUCGGAAUUACUGGGCGUAAAGGGUGCGCAGGCGGUCUCGUAAGCUGGGUGUGAAAGCCCCCGGGCUUAACCUGGGAAUGGCAUUCAGGACUGCGAGGCUUUGAGUGCGGCAGAGGGAGGUGGAAUUCCACGUGUAGCAGUGAAAUGCGUAGAUAUCGGGAGGAACACCAGUGGCGAAGGCGACUUCCUGGCCUGUUCUUGACGCUGAGGCGCGAAAGCUAGGGGAGCAAACGGG
rnacentral:rRNA from 1 species